rnacentral:lncRNA from 1 species
CUGCCAGACUAAUUAGAGGGAGUGUCUGGGGAAGGCCUAGGUGUGGAGGAAGAAGCUGUGCAGGACAGGGCUUGCCAGUCAGAAUGAAGUGGGAGGAAGAUGAGGGACACAGAGAAGCAGAGAGAGGCAGAGACACCAUGGCAGUGAGCAGUGAGGGAGACACUGACUUCAGAGACCCCAGGAGGCCAGAGGAACUUGUCUGGCAAUUAUGAGAGUGGAUGGAGGAACUGCCUAUCCCUGUCCCAUGGUCUUGUCCACAGGCUUUCACAAGCUCCAAAAGAUUCACCGUGCAGAACUGGAGAUUCUAGAGAAAGACCACGCCUCCUCCUGCGGGUAACUCUUCAUUCAGCAAGCAGCUCUUGGCUUAUCCCUGGGCUUAGUGGAAUUCGAAUACCUGACCAUAGGACACCAAGGGCUUUGGGACCUGAAUGACACAUCAUGUGGUGGUGACAUCUGAGUUACCUGGGGCGUGCACAGCAGCCUCCAGCAUCCCAGGGAGAGCUGUGUAUGGGGUCAGGCUCAAGCAGGUCUCAGGGCACCAGUGACCCAAUGGGUGACUCAGACUCCCAUGGCACCUGCUCCUUCUGUUUCUCCCUUCGCCAUAUAUAUGAGCUCAUGGGAAACGCUGUGACCUCUUACAGAGGAGGAAAGUUCAUGGACUUCUAGCUUCUAGAACUGUGAUACAAUAAACUCCUGUUGCUUAUCUACUCCUCUGCAGUAUUUUGUCAUGGCAGCCCUAGCAAACUACUAUAGUGACUGUGGGGGUUAGGAUGACACCAAGCAUCAAAUGCCACUCCCUGUUCCAACAGUGAGACCAUUCCACAGCCCCUGAAUGACAAGACAGGCCUUCAAACUCAAGACUACCUGGCUAGGUCCUGUGAGAUUCACGCUCAAAGAGGUUCUGUUCUGAUGUGUUUCCAGGAUUUGUUUCAAGAUUUGGAGCUCCUUUUAGCAGUUAUUGUAGUGCUGGCUUGGUAGUGGCAAAUUCUCUGAGCAUUUGUUUGUCUGAAAAAGACUGUUAUCUUUCCUUUAUUUAUGAACUUUAGUUUUGCUGGAUACAAAAUUCUUGGCUGAUAAUUUUUUUUUUCUUUUUCUGAGAUGGAGUCUUUCCCUGUUGCCCAGGCUGGAGUGCAGUGGUGUGAUCUCGGCUCACUGCAACCUCCGCCUCCUGGAUUCACGCCAUUCUCCUGCCUCAGCCUCCUGAGUAGCUGGGAUUACAGGCGCCUGCCACCAGG